CACGGAGUUAGCCGGUGCUUAUUCCUACGGUACCUUCAACACCCUACACGUAAGGUGGUUUAUUCUCGUAGAAAAGCAGUUUACAACCCAUAGGGCCGUCUUCCUGCACGCGGGAUGGCUGGAUCAGGCUCUCACCCAUUGUCCAAUAUUCCUCACUGCUGCCUCCCGUAGGAGUCUGGUCCGUGUCUCAGUACCAGUGUGGGGGUUCACCCUCUCAGGCCCCCUAAUGAUCAUCGUCUUGGUGAGCCGUUACCUCACCAACAAACUAAUCAUACGCAUGUCUAUCCUAAUCCGAUAAAUCUUUCAACUUUAAAUGAUGCCAUUCAAAGUAUUAUAAGGUAUUAAUCCAAGUUUCCCUGGGCUAUCCCCUUGAUUAGGGCAAGUUACAUACGCGUUACGCACCCGUGCGCCGGUCUCUAUAAUCCGAAAACUAUAUACCCCUCGGCUUGCAUGUGUUAAGCCUCCCGCUAGCGUUCAUCCUGAGCCAGGAUCAAAACUCU
rnacentral:rRNA from 1 species